rnacentral:SRP_RNA from 1 species
UCGAGGGGUCGACGAUGGGUGCGUCCAAGGCGCUGCCGCUGCAGAAACUGCACCAGGCCUGGCGCUGCGCCUGCGCUUUGCUCUUCGCAUUUGGUGCUGC